ensembl:lncRNA
CUGUUACUGGAGAUUGCUCCUUGGGGAGUUUUCUUGUGAGCCUAUGACACUGGUGAGCAUUUUUCCAUUUAUUUCUGAUUACCUUUUCCCAUGUGAUAAUCUUUCCAGCUAUAUGCUCUCAAAAGACCACCCUAACUUCUCUGUAUACUUACUGGUUAUACAUCUAUAUACAUCUACAUACUCACUGAUUAUAUUCCCUCCCUCUAGAACAUUUGGUAACUGCCUAUUAGCACACACCAAAAAAUUUGUCUUAAAAGGACAACUGACUAAAUAUAAAGCAGUACCAGGAAAAUGUAAUAACGAACAGGUAAAUAAGAGAUACGAUGACUACGGCUAAGUUAUUACAUGAGUCUAUUGUACAGCAUGCAACAAGGUUGCUUGAAGGAUGUAACCAUCCUUUGGCAUGUUGGCAUUUUUUCUAUCUAAAGACCAGAACUGUCUCCAGAUUUUUCUGUUUAGAACUUUAGAGCAUCACUAGAAGCAUUCGAAGCAUUCUUCAGAGAGGCAGUAUGAGAAACAUAGCAUUUACCAGGCCAGGAGAACUAGACGUUCUGAGAGAGUUAAGCAUCUUCAGACUCCUGAAUCACGAUGGUCUUGUUGAGUCUAACUAGAUGGAUAGAUGUAGAGGAGUUGCCAAGUCACAGCCUGAACCAGUACACGAGCACGUGAGUGUGUGGAGCGGGGGGAGCCUAGAUCCACCCUUCCUCUCACCCCGCCUCAGAGGUACUUCCGAGAGUGCGUAUGCAGUCUGAGUCCGCUGGGUUUUCCCCCGCUCCUCCUCCUCCUUCCGGCACCAGAGUAAAAAUCGGAGAAGGCUGCAUUCCUCAGCUUAUCCUUUUUUUUUCCCAACUGUUGUUGGGAGGGUUGAAUUAAUUCCUCUUUGAUAUCUUGUACUAUGGUGCCUGUAUCUCAAAUAAACGUUCCGUCAUCACCUUUGUUUGCUUUACAAUAGAACGCAGAUCUUUUUCAUUGUUCUGAAUGCUUGCUGCCUAUCCGUUCACUGUUGUAAUGAAAGGUGUACUUCUUAUCAAUGUUAAGUAAGAUCUGAUAGUAAGCAUGUAUAAUGUUUUGAGAAAACACUUUCUUGUUUCUACACUGUAGCAACUGGACAGAUCAAUGCCAUGGGAAAAGCAUUACAACAAAGGUGCAAGGAUGGAAGGACUGGUGCAACAGAGAGCUGCUAGGGAAGGGAAGAAGAUUGCUCACUUGCAUCAGAAGAUUCUAGGUUUGCAGGGGAAAGCUUCACCAAUAAGGGAUCUCCAGAAUCAGAUCCUUCCCCAGUGACAGUCAGCCCUUAAAUGAGGUCUAAGAGAGGCCUUCCAGUUGCACAACUGAAUUGUUUUUGCCUGUGCUCCCAGGGCUCACCCAGACCUUUCCGCAGGUGGUCAAUCAGAGGUUCAGGCUGUGACUCAACAGUUACCAUACAUACAUUAACCAUAAUAUCGGUGCUUUUACAAAUCAAGUUAAUAGCUUAUAAUCAAAAUAGUAUCAAGAGAAAAUACAUUUAAUUUGUUAAGAUGCUAUAGCUCAGAUGAAUAUUUUAGAAUUACUUUUAUAUAAUGUGACCUGAACCUUUAGCUUUAUACAUAUGAUUGUAUGUACUGAAAAGCAGCAUGUUUAAAUCCCUUUAGGCCAUGCACAUUCUAUGUACAUUUCUUCCUCCAGAAGCUAGGAGAUAUUUAGUUACAUACUUCUAUGUUUACCAUACAAUAUGUACAUUUUUUUUUUUUUUUUACACCAUACCACAGUAUUCAUUCUGUCAGUCACAGAGGUUUCUCAUGAGG